rnacentral:lncRNA from 1 species
AGUAACAAUCACAGAUAAAUUAAUUAAUGGUAGAUUUACAAUGAGAAUGCAACAAAAAUCUAUUUAUUGAAAGGGUAGAGAACACAUGACUUUCAAGAACACAAAUAAUAUGUGAUCAUAGAAGAACAGUAAAGGAAGGUGAUUCAUCCUUGAAAAAAGAUGGAUGAAAAAGAAAGAAUAACACUUGAAGAUCAUCAAUGAUCAAUGAGUAGAAUAAUUUAGGAUGGAAGUUAGUCAUAAAAUGGAGCAGUUCAUUUGGUUCAAUUAAUCGAACCAUGCACAGCUCUAACCACUUUCAUGUCAAAAAGUGAAAGUAAAAGUAAAAGUAAAGUAAAUUGAAAUAAUCAAAAUGACUAAACCUGGAAACAAGUUUUUGACAUUCAUCCAAAGCAAUGUGCAAUGUAAGUGAAAAUCCGGUUUCUUCAAAAUCUGAACAAGAUUGAACAAUAAUGUUCAAAAUCAAAAUUUUGAAACUGGGACCACAAUCUUGUUGGCUGAAUGACUGUUGUGAAAGGCAUGUGCCUCAUAUUGAUGUAUAUGUGUUAAUGUUGUUGGUUGAAUGAUUGUUGUCCAAGGUUUGUUUGUGUGACUCAUUGAUUUUCAUGUUUAUGUGUGUCUGUCUACCCAUAAUUAAAUAUAUUUGUGUAAAUUUAUAUUUGUUCAUUCUUCACAUACUCUUGUGCAAAUC